GGGGGCCCGCACAAGCGGUGGAGCAUGUGGUUUAAUUCGACGCAACGCGCAGAACCUUACCAGCCCUUGACAUGUCCAGGACCGGUCGCAGAGACGUGACCUUCUCUUCGGAGCCUGGAACACAGGUGCUGCAUGGCUGUCGUCAGCUCGUGUCGUGAGAUGUUGGGUUAAGUCCCGCAACGAGCGCAACCCCCGUCCUUAGUUGCUACCAUUUAGUUGAGCACUCUAAGGAGACUGCCGGUGAUAAGCCGCGAGGAAGGUGGGGAUGACGUCAAGUCCUCAUGGCCCUUACGGGCUGGGCUACACACGUGCUACAAUGGCGGUGACAGUGGGAUGCGAAGACGCAAGUCCUAGCAAAUCUCAAAAAGCCGUCUCAGUUCGGAUUGGGCUCUGCAACUCGAGCCCAUGAAGUUGGAAUCGCUAGUAAUCGUGGAUCAGCACGCCACGGUGAAUACGUUCCCGGGCCUUGUACACACCGCCCGUCACACCAUGGGAGUUGGCUUUACCUGAAGACGGUGCGCUAACCAGCAAUGGAGGCAGCCGGCCACGGUAGGGUCAGCGACUGGGGUGAAGUCGU
rnacentral:rRNA from 1 species